rnacentral:rRNA from 1 species
UACGUAGGGGGGCAAGCGUUGUCCGGAAUCAUUGGGCGUAAAGAGCGCGUAGGCGGUCCGGUAAGUCCGCUGUGAAAGUCAAGGGCUCAACCCUUGAAUGCCGGUGGAUACUGCCGGGCUAGAGUCCGGAAGAGGCGAGUGGAAUUCCUGGUGUAGCGGUGAAAUGCGCAGAUAUCAGGAGGAACACCAAUGGCGAAGGCAGCUCGCUGGGACGGUACUGACGCUGAGGCGCGAAAGCGUGGGGAGCAAACGGG